UGCAGGUUGACGGGGGAAAGGGUUUCUUCCCAAAAAUGCAAACCAAGUUCCCAUGGACUGAGUCCUCCCCCAAAACAUACAGAGGUGGAGAUGAAUUCGAGGCGAGAUAGGCAGAUCUGGCUGUAAAUAAUCACUGCAUCCACUUAAGCUGCCUUCCUCUGCUCUCUCCUCCCGCCCCCCACUCCCGCCUAAACCAGAUGUAGCUGAACGGGAAUCCUCUUCGCAAAUAUGGGUUACAAGCGUCUCCUAGCGGCCAUAGGAGCUCAGUGCAUGCAGGUUGCUGCUCGCAGGAGUCCUGAAAGAUAAGACCCUUCUUUACAGCCUCUGCUUCUUUCUCUUGAUUUUCAAGACCUAUGAAGAGGAUCAUCCAGCCAUUUGAGAAAGAAAAUUGGCGAUACGCUUUCGGAAGAAGUCUCUCUGUGACCCCAAGUCUCCACUGCUUUUCUCCGGCCGGAGCCGAACCACUGCACGGACCUUAUCCUAAGGAAAAUAUAUUUUGAUGAAUGGAAAUGGCAAUAAAUGGAAAGAACAGAACCUAAAGGAAAAUAUCUCUGCUUCUUUGAUGAUGGAUGGACAUCAUAAUGAUGGGGUUACUGAACCUAGCCAAUUAGUUCAACAGUGAUUAAAAGGGUUUAAAAAAAAUAAGUAAACUGAUCUUACAACUUUUAAAAAUAAGAUACACUUUUCUUUCCCUAUUCAUCCUGAAAUUGAGAGAUUGAGUACUUGUGUGGUGGCUUGUAUUCUUAAAAAAAGUGAAUGAUUAAAUUUGCAUGACACUCAUGUCAGCAGAAAAAAAAGAAGGCAAACACAAAUCAGAAGAAAAUUGAUGAGAAAUAACCAAAGAUUGGACAUGGAAAGCUGAUUGUGGCUUUGUGGUAGUUCAGCGUGAUGUUUCUUUCUGCUAUUUGGAUGAACCAUAUCUAUAAAUCUUCCUUAAUGGUUAAAGAAAAAAGAUAUGUUUUGUAUGAUUUUGGUAAAAUUCCUAAUUAUUUAGAAAUAUGGAAAGAUAGAACCAAGGUAGAGCUCAUUUAAAGAUGAAUGUGAACUUAAAGAUCACCUAACUAAAUUUCUUCAUUUUACAGAUGACAAAAGUCAGGCCCAGAAAUGAAAAGUGAAUUGUCUAGGGUUACACAGUUUCUUUUAUUCACUAAGGCCCUCCCCCUUCACAUAGAAGAUGAAAUAGAAGCAGUGUGAUCAGCAAUAACCUCAGUUUCCUCUUCUUAAAAGCAAGGAGAUGACCCAGAGGAAUCCUCAGGCUCUUCCAGUUUCACACCUGUAAUUGUGUGAAGAAGGGUUCACAGUCUGAACACUGGACAGAAUGCUGAUCCUGGAGUCAGAAAGACCUGCCACAAGCUAUGUGACCCUGGACAAAUCAUUUAACCUCUCUGAGACUCAGUUUUUUCAAAUAUAAGAUGGGGGCAAUGCUAACAUCUCCCAAACAGGAUUAUUGUGAAGCUGAGACGAAAAUGUAUUAGAAGUAGUUUGCAAAGCUUAAAGAGCUAUUGAAAUGUCAUUUAUCAUCAUCCUUACUUUAGUGGCAUAGUGCAUAUAAUGUUGGACCUGGAGUUAGGGACACUUGAAAUCAAAUCCUGUCUCAGAUAUUUAUUCAGACAUUUACAAUUACACAUUAUUUUGAAAGAAAAAUCCUACCAUCAGUAUCAUACUAAAGAUUUAUACAUUUGUUCAUCCAUUCCAAAGUGGCAUUAGGUGGAACUUGAUGGUAAAGUGUUAAUAAUAUUAUUGUAAAAUAGUUAUGGAUUGUAUAUUUGUGGUAUGAAGUAGCAAAAUAUGUUCGAGUAAUAAAAAUAACGUCACAGUAAUGUGGAUUGUACCUGUG